UACGGAGGGUGCAAACGUUGCUCGGAAUCAUUGGGCGUAAAGCGCACGUAGGCGGACCAUCAAGUCGGAUGUGAAAUCCCUCGGCUCAACCGAGGACGUGCAUUCGAAACUGUCGGGCUCGAGUAUGGAAGAGGGUCGCGGAAUUCCCGGUGUAGAGGUGAAAUGCGUAGAUAUCUGGAGGAACACCGGUGGCGAAGGCGGCAUCCUGGACCGGUAUUGACGCUGAGGCGCGAAAGCUAGGGGAGCAAACGGG
rnacentral:rRNA from 1 species